CCAAAAUGGCCCGAGCUGUUCAGUUAGCGAAAAAACAGAGCAAGCAGUUACAUCUCCUCUUACCCCUUCAUUCGACUCCCAUCUUGCCUCCAUCCCCGAGCUCCCUCCAAGGUCAUCCUCACCUUCGUCCCCAAGUGUUCAAAGUGGCCACUGGACUUCGCUACCAUAGGAUUCAAGGCCUUGUUCCCGAACAGCACCAUCUACAAGGGCCUGUGCCGGCCAUCGGUAUAAUUUGGUACUACUACAACUCAUAGUAUUUUCUAAACUAAAAGGGUGCCCCUCCUCCUCGAUCAUCACCAUUAUGACUCCUUGCCCUCUCAUGUCAAGGUAGUAUAUCAGAUGAAUACUGCCCUACUGUUUUUAUUUGCAAAGUUCAACUGCCCGCACCAGAAAGUCGCUAUCAAAUUAUUCUCUCACUCACUCUACCAUUUUCACGUAUGUGGCAGCCUGGCUUUGUGUCUGUCUUCUUCAGUGAAUGCCUGUUAUAUAAUUUUUCUGUCUGGUGCACUUGCAUCUCUAAAUUGUAACAAAUAAAGAGAAAAACCAUUUGUUAAUAGAGGAAAAUCUAUUGAUAUUCAGGUGGUGCAUUCACUUGAUAAGGCACAUCUUCUGCUCACCAAUUUAGCCUUUCUUUCAGUUUUAGCAUUUCUUGUUGUUUUAGUUCAGCAUACCUAUCCAAUUAUGAUAGCACAUUAAGUUCAGCAGAUUAGUUAGCAAUUUAGCCUUUCUUGCUGUUUUUUGAACAUACCAUAUUCUUUUCUCAUGGGUGCUCAAUUUUAAUUAGUUUGUGCUACCAUGGCUGAGGAUAUUUGGACCCUAAAACUUCAAUUUGAGGGGGACCCUCCAGGGCAGAAAAUGGUGCAAAGGGAAAUGGACAAAGAUGAGAUAUGUUUCUUCAACUUGAUUGAACUGAUUGAGGAAUAUGGAUACACAUCAGUUGACUAUGUAUACUACAAGAGAAGAGAUGGUUUGGUUGCAAUACAAUGGGAUUCAGAUGUGAUGCAAAUGCUUGAAGAGAAUGAGAGCAAAAGGAAGGUUAGCUUGUUUGUGACGAAGCAGAGAAUGGCCACCAUAGCACCUACCAAAUUCAAUGAAGAACCUACCAAUUCUGCAGAAAAUAAAAAUAAAGGUAGUAGUAUGAUGAAAAUAAAAGUUGCUCUUUCGUGUAUGUUUGAGCAUCCAGGUAAAACUAACGUACAAUUGUCAUAUUUGAAUGUCAUGCCAUGUCAUGUCAUGUCAUAUGAAAAUAAUUUUGCAGAAUAUAUGUCAUCCAAUAGCAGGUAUGUCAAUUUAACUGAUCCAUGAGCAGUGAUUUUGCAUGUCAUCUUAUCCUAGCAUUGGUGUAUACUAUAAAUAUUCUAUACUCUGGUAUAUGUUUUCACUUCUCCCAUAAUUGUUCAUAGGGAAAAGGGGCACAAAGGAAAAGCAGCCUAAAUGUAAUCCAAAUCAAAGAACAAUAUUAUAAUGAGGUUGAUCAGCACCAUGACAAUACCAUCCAGCAAACACAAGGUGAUGGCAAUAAUGUAAUCAAGCGAAAGGGAACGGUUUUGACACAUGUUUGGGAUUUACCUAAGGAUAAACGUAUAUUAGUGAAAUGCAACCAACUUGGGCAACCUAUUGGAAAAGAAGGUGGUCUGUUAGGCCAAUUUUUAGGAACUAUAGCACGGAACGGUGGUUAUUGCCCAAUAGAUGUCAAUGAUUGGAGAAAGAUAAAGAAGGAUAGUGCUGAAACCAUACUUCAAUGUAUUCAGACAAAGUUCUUGUAUCCUCGAUCAUGUGAGAAAUGGAUACUGAAAUCGAUAGGGAGAGAUUGGAGAAAAUACAAGUCAAUAUUGAAAAAGAAGUUAUUUAGUCCAAAGAAGAAAAGGUCAUACUUAUACAAGCUUUGUCCAGAUGAUAUUGAUGAAGACCAGUGGAAAUCCUUAGUAAAAUAUUGGAAGUCAUCUGAAGGAAAGGUUAGUACAAUAG